rnacentral:misc_RNA from 1 species
GAUGAAGAACGCAGCGAAAUGCGAUAAGUAGUGUGAAUUGCAGAAUUCAGUGAAUCAUCGAAUCUUUGAACGCACAUUGCGCCCUUUGGUAUUCCAAAGGGCAUGCCUGUUCGAGCGUCAUUCGUACCCUCAAGCUUUGCUUGGUGUUGGGCGUCUUGUCUCUAGCUUUGCUGGAGACUCGCCUUAAAGUAAUUGGCAGCCGGCCUACUGGUUUCGGAGCGCAGCACAAGUCGCACUCUCUAUCAGCAAAGGUCUAGCAUCCAUUAAGCCUUUUUUUCAACUUUUGACCUCGGAUCAGGUAGGGAUACCCGCUGAACUUAAGCAUAUCAAUAAGCGGAGGA